GGUUAAACUGCAUUUGCCCACAAGAGAUGAACUCACUAACGUGUCGACAAAUUAUCCAAGCCCAGAAACCUUCGGGCAAGGCCAUGACCAGUCCUGACUGAUGGGUCCACCUGCCAUUCAUCUACCCAUCAGAGGAGCACGCAGUAUUCUUCUGACUCCACCUCCCAGGGAAACCUCCUCGGAGUGCUCUUUGGCACACAGCGCAUCACACUGCUGUGCUUUCUUCUCUUAGGCUUGAAAAUUGCCUUCUUAGCAAAUGGUGUCUUAGCAAAUGUAGUGACAGCUUUAAGGGAGCCGCUGCUCCCGUGGAAUAAUUCUAUUUACUUCAAAACAGCCGCCUUGACAUCUCCCCACUCCUCAGCCAACACAAAGGCAUCGUGUUCUUCAAGGAGCCACCACCUGAGACCACCUUGUUAAUAACAAAAAUGUUCCAGGUCUCUGUGUUCUCUCGUCUAUGAAAUAAACAUCCUUCUAAAACAGGCAAA